UUGUGGAGGAGGACGCCGAAGGUGGGGCUAAUGACUGGGGUGAAGUCGUAACAAGGUAGCCGUACCGGAAGGUGCGGCUGGAUCACCUCCUAACAGGGAGACAACAAAAUGUUAAAUAUUAAUUUUGUCACCUUAGGUCGAUCGGUACCUCACAUUCUUAACUUAUUAAGGAUUUUAUUUCCUAAGUUUUUUCUAGGUCACACCCAUCACUUUCCUGGGCCAUUAGCUCAGGUGGUUAGAGCGCACCCCUGAUAAGGGUGAGGUCCCUGGUUCAAGUCCAGGAUGGCCCAUAUCUCUAUGUUGGGGGUAUAGCUCAGUUGGUAGAGCGCCUGCUUUGCAAGCAGGAUGUCAGCGGUUCGAGUCCGCUUACCUCCACUGAUUACCACCUCUUCCAUAAUUUUUAGAAGGAAAUGUUUUGAGAUGUGAUCAAAAUCUGAACGAAUCUAGCUUCCUAAUUACCUUUAUUAAGAUGCUGGACUCAUUGAAUUAAUUUCAUUGUUUUCAGAGAACCUUGACAACUGCAUAGAUUAUUUUUAAAGACAAUAAGCAUCUUUAAUGAUGCAGAUUUAUUAUUUAUGCGAAUGCAUUAAUAACAAUUCUAUUAAGCUGAUGCUUCAAUUUUGAAGUUAUUGGUCAAGCUACAA
rnacentral:misc_RNA from 1 species